UACGUAGGGUGCAAGCGUUGUCCGGAAUUAUUGGGCGUAAAGAGCUCGUAGGCGGUUUGUUGCGUCGGCUGUGAAAACCCGGGGCUCAACUCCGGGCCUGCAGCCGAUACGGGCAGACUAGAGUUCGGCAGGGGAGACUGGAAUUCCCGGUGUAGUGGUGAAAUGCGUAGAUAUCGGGAGGAACACCAGUGGCGAAGGCGGCAUCCUGGCCCUGUCCUGACGCUCAGGGGCGAAAGCGUGGGGAGCAAACCGG
rnacentral:rRNA from 1 species